UUUUGGACAAUGGGGGCGACCCUGAUCCAGCCAUGCCGCGUGAGUGAAGAAGGCCUUCGGGUUGUAAAGCUCUUUCGGACGGAACGAAAUGGGCGGGACUAAUACUCCUGUCUGAUGACGGUACCGUAAGAAGAAGCACCGGCUAACUACGUGCCAGCAGCCGCGGUAAUACGUAGGGUGCGAGCGUUAAUCGGAAUUACUGGGCGUAAAGCGUGCGCAGGCGGUUUCGUAAGCUGGAGGUGAAAUCCCCGGGCUUAACCUGGGAAUGGCCUUCAGGACUGCGAGGCUAGAGUGCGGUAGAGGGAGGUGGAAUUCCACGUGUAGCAGUGAAAUGCGUAGAGAUGUGGAGGAACACCGAUGGCGAAGGCAGCCUCCUGGGCCAGCACUGACGCUCAUGCACGAAA
rnacentral:rRNA from 1 species